rnacentral:rRNA from 1 species
GACGAACGCUGGCGGCGUGCUUAACACAUGCAAGUCGAACGGAAAGGCCCUGCUUUUGUGGGGUUCUCGAGUGGCGAACGGGUGAGUAACACGUGAGUAACCUGCCCUUGACUUUGGUAUAACUUCAGGAAACUGGGGCUAAUACCGGAUAUGAGCUCCUGCUGCAUGGUGGGGGUUGGAAAGUUUCGUCGGUUGGGGAUGGAAUCGCGGCUUAUCAGCUUGUUGGUGGGGUAGUGGCUUACCAAGGCUUUGACGGGUAGCCGGCCUGAGAGGGUGACCAGCAAAAAUGGGACUGAGAGACGGACCAGACUGCAACGGGAGGCAGCAGUGGGGAAUAUUGCACAAUGGGCGGAAGCAUGAUGAAGCAACGCCGCGUGCGGGAUGACGGCCUUCGGGUUGUAAACCGCUUUCGCAUGUGACGAAGCGUGAGUGACGGUAAUGGGUAAAGAAGCACCGGCUAACUACGUG